rnacentral:tRNA from 1 species
AGGGAUAUAGUUUAAUGGCAGAAUAACGAGCUCCAAACUCGUUGGUGCGGGUUCGACUCCUGCUAUCCUGUUACCA